UAGGGGGAGUCCGGGAGAUAUGACCAGGUGGGAGAGUUGAACCACGACAAAUAUUUCAAUUCAAAUUUCGCGCCACCGACGCCGUUGACAGCUCAUGUCAUACUUUAACAGAAGGCGCAACUUUUGGCGACGCCAUAUUGGCCGCUAUUAGUCUGGUUUGGAAAUGACUGGAGUAAACGUGGUUUCGCUGUCGCGAAGUGAAAAAAAUUACAAUUUUAUAUUUUUACACUAUUUUGAAAAUUAAACAGGCCAAACGUCAAAGGAGGUAAGAGGAAGGUGUUGCAAGAUAGCGACAAGAGAAAAAAAUCCAAAAAUAAAAUAAAAAACAAGUGUUGUGUU